rnacentral:misc_RNA from 1 species
AAAAUUUGUCCAAAUCCCGUAGCAUUUCCUUUUGUUUAAAAAUGAUGGGUUUACUUGGCAGUGGAAGUAUAACAGCAUAGCACGACCAUCAAAGCUUUGAUUAGUGUGUCAACAAGUGCUGUGUCAUUCACCAAGACCACUGGUGUAGCCUAAGUGUUCUACACUUUAUUAAUGAAUAAUUGUUAUGUUUUUAACUUAUUUAUAUUUAAUACUCAUCUAUU